GUGUGCUCACUGUCUCACUGUUAUCUCAGUCACUGGGUCUCAAUUGGCACUGAGCCACAGCAGGUGUUAUCUCAUCACCUUAGUCUAUUAUACAUAUGCUUAUCAAGCAUUUCUCUAUUGGAGUGCAUAAUAAUCUGGUGCAUCAUAGGCAGCAAGGGAUGACAGAGCGUACAAGUGAUAUAGAAUCCAAGAGUCAUCAAUUUUAAUCUAAGGUCUUCGAGGGCCUGCCUAGAUUGGAAAAAGGGCAGAAGAACCAGAAGAUUUCUAGAACCAUUCUAGAUCAGAAUUAUCAAGAAACUUGCGAGCCUAGAGGAAAAAUGUAUAAAACAAUAAUUUAAGUGUACUUUUUCAAUUGAACAAAGUUCAGGAUUUGGAUCUUUUAAUAAAACACGUGAAAAAAGUUAUAACCCACCUACUCAGAAGAAAGACUAUAAGGAGCCACAUAGUAAAAUGCAUAAACUUAAUAGAUCUUAAAGCCAAUCAAAUAAGAAGUGCUCCAAAAGUCAAGAAAGAUUAUGGCCAAGUUUCACAUUAUGAAGAAUUAUAUUCACAAAUAUACCCUGACAUAAACUUGAAAAACAGAGCCCAUUCUCAAGAUAUUAAAUGAAUACUUCUGUUUUA
rnacentral:lncRNA from 1 species